ensembl:lncRNA
GUAUUGCCUCACAGCCAUUCCAGUGCCUACCACCUUACUGGGGUUUUUCUGAUCUUGGACAUGGGGUAUCUCCACACGGCCCGUCCAGUGAAGUGCAGCCACCACUCCUGACCUUGGACAUGGGAAUGGUUCAGGAGAGCUGAUAAAGAUCAUAUAUACAGUGUGAGAAGGUUUUAAGGAAAUCAACAAAGACUGGACACCCUGCAAGAAACUACUACCGAGUCCAAGCCAAAUAUAGAAAGAUGGUGAGAGGGAGCAGAGGAGAAGCAUGAAGUACUAGGAGCACAGAUGAGAGAUGAAGCCAUAACACAUAAACAGAAACAAGCAAGCAAAGAGAAUGUAGCUGAAAUAACAAGGGUAUCUUUCCCUUUUUCCAUGUAUCCCAGUAGUCAUGUAUGGAUACGAAAGUUGGACUAUAAGGAAAACUGAGCACCUAAGAAUUGAUGCUUUUGAACUGUGGUGUUGAAGAAGACUCUUGAGAGUCCCUUGGACUGCAAGGAGAUCCAACCAGUCCAUCCUAAAGGAACUCAGUCCUGAAUAUUCAUUGGAAGGACUAGUGCUAAAGCUGAAACUCAAUACUUUGGCCACGUGAUGUGAAGAACAGACUCAUUUGAAACGAUCCUGAUGCUGGGAAAGGUUGAAGGUGGGAGACGAAGGGGACAACAGAGGGUGAGAUGGUUGGAUCGCAUCACCGACUCAAUGGACAUGAGUUUAAGUAAACUCCGGGAGUUGGUGAUAGACAGGGAAUCCUGGCAUGCUGCAGUCCAUGGGGUCGCAGAGUCAGACAGAACUGAGCGACUGAACUGAACUGACUUGAUAUAUAUUUUUAUUGUAUCCCUUACUUUCCUUGGUGACCUUGUUUCCUCAUCUUGCUCUCUUUCUACCAAGUGGCAUAAGAAAUAAACACAAGUAUAAGACAUGAAAGUAAAAACUUUCCUAUGACUUUUUAGCCCAGCUUAGAAUUAGUUUCCUAUUCUGCAUCCCUUUCUUUUCUUGCUCUGAUGUACCUUUCUUACCCUUUCAAGUGAAUCUUGGAAUUUGCAAAUAUCAUAAAGUUUUCCAAAGAACAACUUGGGGAGUAGGGCAGGGAAAAAUAUUUUUUAAAUGAGCAGAAAUAGAAAUAUUCCAUGCUCAUUUCUGCUGUACUUUUGAACACCAAAUCUGAAUUUCCUUUCCCCUUUAUGAACAUCUUAAAUAGUAUAGAACUGGAAUAAAAUUUUGCAAAUCAAAAUUUUCAAGUUUUAUCAUAAUAUAAAACAGAAAAAUAAAC